CGGUAAUUCCAGCUCCAAUAGCGUAUAUUAAAGUUGUUGCGGUAAAAAAGCUCGUAGUUGGAUUUCUGUUGAGGACGACCGGUCCGUACCAUGUACGCGCAUCUGGCUCGGCCUUGGCAUCCUCUCGUUGAACGUUUCUGCGCUUGAUUGCGUGGGGCGGUUUGCGGGACUUUUACUUUGAGGAAAUUAGAGUGUUCACGGCAGGCUUAACGCCAGAAUACAUUAGCAUGGAAUAAUACUAUAGGAUCUCGGUUCUAUUUUGUUGGUUUCUAGACCCGGGGUAAUGAUUAAUAGGGACAAUUGGGGGCAUUCGUAUCAACACGUCAGAGGUGGAAUUCUUGGAUUGUGUUGCGACGAACUACUGCGAAAGCAUUUGCCAAGGAUGUUUUCAUUGAUCAAGAACGGAAGUAAGGGGAUCGAAGACGAUUAGAUACCGUCGUAGUCUUUACCAUAAACUAUGCCGACUAGAGAUGGGACAUCGUUCACUUACGACUUGUUCCGCACCUUAUGAGAUAUCAAAGUCUUUGGGUUCCGGGGGGAGUAUGGUCGCAAGGCUGAAACUUAAAGGAGUUGACGGAAGGGCACCACCAGGAGUGGAGCCUGCGGCUUAAUUUGACUCAACACGGGGAAACUCACCAGGUCCAGACAUAAUAAGGAUUGACAGAUUGAUAGCUCUUUCUUGAUUUUAUGGGUGGUGGUGCAUGGCCGUUCUUAGUUCGUGGAGUGAUUUGUCUGCUUAAUUGCGUUAACGAACGAGACCUUAACCUGCUAAAUAGGAGCGCAUAUCUUCGGAUAAGCGCCUUUCUUCUUAGAGGGACUUUAUGCGUUUCAGCAUGAGGAAGUUUGAGGCUAAAACAGGUCUGUGAUGCCCUUAGAUGUUCUGGGCUGCACGCGCGCUACACUGAUGCGUUCAACGAGUGUACAACCUUGCCCGAUAGGGUUGGGUAACCUUUUGAACACGCAUCGUGAUGGGGAUAGAGUAUUGCAAUUAUUACUCUUCAACGAGGAAUUCCUAGUAAUGAUGGAUCAUCAGUUCAUCGUGAUUACGUCCCUGCCCUUUGUACACACCGCCCGUCGCUCCUACCGAUUGAGCAAUCCGGUGAAUAUUUCGGACUGGGGGCCGUCGGGGCAACUCGUUCGGUUCUCGGAAAGUCAAGUUAACCUUAUUGCUUAGAGGAAGGAGAAGUCGUAACAAGGUAGCCG
rnacentral:rRNA from 1 species